UAUGCCCAGCAUUUGUCUUGAGGUAUCUUUACCACUUGGAAGAAUUAUGAUACUCGGUAAAUUUGAUAUGAGGCAUGAAUUCUAUUUAAGGGUUGUAAUUAGGAAGGAAGAAGAAAAGCUAUAGAGGUAGCAGGCGGCAAAACAGUUAAUCUGUUUUUGUUGAAUAAAACUUUUAAUGUUCAAGCUUGGGCAUAUUUGUUAACACAAAUUUUUCAAGGCAGCACCUGAGCACCUCAGGCAAGGCCAAUCUCUCUGGCGGCUCUGGCUCUAAAUGUUGCACUUGUUUGCUUUUUUAAAAAAAACUUCAAAAAUUUGAAGUAUAAUUGGUUACUUUUUGUAUGACACAUAUUUGCGUAUUGUUUUUUUCCUAAUAAGCUAAAUUAGCCUUAAAACUAGAACUGGAUCAUUUGUUAAAAAUAAGAAAUUCUCAGGUAUAUCUGUGAUUUCAUAUUUUUAUAUAGAUCAAAAUGGCAAGUAGUUGUUAUAAAAUUUUAACUUUAAAAAUAAGUGAGUUGACAGUCAAAAGCAAUAUACAAUUUUUAACUGGAUCCUACACAGAAAACAAAAAUAAAACAUAAAGAAGAAAACAAAACGUACAUUUUGGGGACAUAUGUGGACAUUUCAAUAUGUACUCUAUUUUAGAUUAUAUUAUUGAAUUGAUAAUUAUAUUAGUUUUCUUGCUGCUGCUGUAACAAAAAAACCAUAAACUUGGUGACUUAAAAUGACACAAGUUUAUUCUCUGGAGGUCAGAAGUCUAAAAUGAAGGUGUUGGCAGGGUGGCAUUUUUUCUAGAGGUUUGAGGGGGGAAUGUUCCCUUAUCUUUCACAACAUCUAGAAGCUACAUUGCUUGUCUCAUGACCCCUUCCUUGCCUCAUUCCAACUCUUGCUUCUGUCUUGUCUUAUCCUAGUACUAACUCUCCGUCUGCUACCUCCCUUUGAUAAGGACCCUCAUGAUUACCUUGGGCCCACCCCAAUAAUCCCGAUGAUUUCCCCAUCUCAAGACUUCUAAUUACAUCUGCAAAAUCCUUGUUACCAUGUAAGGUAACAUAGUCACAGGUUCCAGGGAUUAGGAUGUGGACACAUCUGGAGGCUAUUAUAAUAAUGAUACUGUAAUUUUGUAGGAUAAUGUCCUUAUUCUCAGGAGAAACAUAAUGUGAAGUAUUUAGUGGUGAAAUAUCAUGGUAUCUGAAACUUUCAAAUAGCUCAGUAACCAAGGAGAGAGAAGUGUGUCAAACAGUGCUAGGUAUAUAGGUAUUUAUUAUAUUUUUCUUUCAGCUUUGUUGUGACUUUGAACUUUUGAAAGUGAAAAGUUGGAAGAAAGUAAACAGAUAUUAAUAAAUUCCAUGUCAUGUACAUGUGUUUUAGGUGUUUGUAUGGUACUUAAGUUUUCGUUUUUUAAAAGUUUCAUUAUUUUAUUAAACUACAAUCACCUUAUACCAGUGGUUUCCAUAUUUUUGGAUUCUUCAAUUAUUAAAAUUAGUCCAUUUCAAGACUAAAAACAGUAAGAAUGAUGGGCCUGAAAGAGAGGAAACUUCUCUAAAGUUGGAAGUCCAUUCAACUUUAUAGAAACCAUAACUGUUCUGUUAACUUUACUCUCCUUCCUGGGCCCAAAUAGAGAAAAUUUAAGGCUCAAAAUAGUUUGAGGGAAGGCUGGGCGGCUUCAGCCCAUCGGGACCAUGGUGCCCUCCUGUGGCAAUCUGGAGAAUUACUGCCAUCUGACUUCAUUUCGUCGGACUUGAGGCACAAUUCCCUCCUGUAUGGUCAUUUCAUUUCUGCAUGCCCAGCAUUGUCCUCAGCGCUUGGGAUAUCAGUAAAGAAAAAAAAAUUUUCCUCCUAGUGGAGCUUACGUUCAGGUGGAUAGACAAGACAAUAAACAAAGUCAUAAGCGCUAUGGAAAAGGAGCAGCACAGGGACCUCGGGGGCAGAGUACAGGGAGUGGCAGUGUAGGUUGCAACUUAAAAGAGAGUGUCCCGCAUUGAGAAGGGGACUUUUGUAUAGAGUUGAAAAGAGGCGAGAGAGUUAACCAUGCAGCCAGAUUUUGUGGGGUCAGGAGUUCUAUGAACAGAACCUCUCUCACUGGUCAGCCAAAAAGUCAGUACAAAAGCCCUAAGGCAAGAGCUUGUUUGUCAAUUUCCAGACCCACACAGGUAGUUCCUCUGGAGCCAGUAUGGAGAAAUAAGUAGCGGAUGAGUUCAGAAGGGGAGACUAAAUCACCUAGGAUCCUCCAGGCGACAGUAAGGGCUUUAGCUUUACUCUAAGUGAAAAGGAGAGCCUUGCGAGAUUUGGGGCAGAAUGUUAGAAUCUGAAGUUUAAAAGGACCACUCUGGCUGCUGUAUUGAAAAGGGAAUGAGCAGAAAGCAGAGUAAACCAGAGAAAAGAUGAUGGUGGCUCAGACCAGGUUAUUAGCAAUGCGGGUAGUGAGAUAUAGUUGAUUCUGGAUAUACUUGGAAGGUGGAGUCAGCAGACAGAAUGGAUACAGAGAUUAAAGAGACAUCAAGGAGAAUCCCAUUGUUCUGAGUGGCAGGAAGGAUGAGCUGCCACGAGCUGAGCGGGCUGAGAGCACAGGAUCAGGAGUUCAGUUUUGAACACAAUGAGGCGGAAAUAUGUUUAGCUAGAAAUACAAAUGUGAGAGUCAUUGGCAUAGAAGUGGUAUUUAAAGCUUGGAGACUGGAUGAGAUCACCAAGGUGUAAAAGUAGACAGAGAAGAGGCUCAAGGUCAGAGUCCUGUCGCACUCCAACUUGAAAGAAGCUGGGCUGUAAAGAAUCAGGGAAAGAGAAUGAGAGGAAGCAACCGGAGAGCUGCAGCUGAGGCCUUCGUUCGCGGGUUGCAUAGAUGCCCGGUCCUUAAGGAGCCAAACAACCAAGAGCGCUUCUCUGGGAUUCCCAGGGUUGGACAACAUCUUACAGGUUUGGGUCUGCUUGCACCCAGAGCCGCGGACGGGGCAGGCUGCGGACCCGCGCUAGCACCCUCGUGUCCUUUACCCUCAGGUCCCAUGGGGUAACACAGAUGGAUGCCUCCUUAUGCAGUGGAGUGCAUUACAAAGAGGCUUGAUCUCAGAGAACCAGAAUGUUAUAUAGUAGUCAACCACAGCUUCUGAAACCCUUGGGAUCUCCAGAGUUAUGAGUGUCCUUUGUAUGGUAAGUGAGAUAACUGGUGGCUGGGAGCCCCUAGAUGGCGUCAGGAUGGGGGCUGGUCACCAGAAAGACCAAGGCAUGAUCACAGUGUUGGAACUUUCAGCCCUACCCUUGACCUCUGGGGAGGAAGUGGAGAGUGAGCUAAUCACCAAUGAUCAAUGAUUUAUCAGUCACAGCUGCAUAGUGAAACCCACAAAAACCCUUAAGCCAUGGAGUUCAGAGCUUCUGCUCACACUGAGGUAUGGAAGGGUGGUAUGCCCAAAGCAGUCCCUCAACUCGUACCUUGCCUUGUACAUGACCCUCAGGCUGUCUCUGAGUUGUGUCCUUUAUAAUAAACUGGUAAUUGUAAGCAAAUGCUCUCCUGAGUUCUGUGCACUGUUCCAGCAAAUUAUCAAACCUGAAACAGAGGAGGGGUUGUGGGACUCCCCUGACUUUGUAGCUAUGUUGGACAGAAGUGUGGGUAAACCCGGGACCUGACACCUGUGACUGAAGCGAGGGCAGUCUGGUGGGACUGAGCCCUUAAACCUGUGCAGUCUGAAGCUAACUCUGGGUAGUGAGUGUCAGAAUUGAGCUGAACUGUAGGACAUCCAGUUAGUAUCUACAGAGAAUUGGAGAACUGCUUGAUGUGGAAAACUCCCUAACGCAUUUGGUGUCAGUAGUAUAAUGAACAAAAACACUCAAUAUUUUAGUGCCCAGGAGGGGGACUGAUCCAAAUUUCCUAGGUUACCAUUAUCAGAGAAAGGAGUCCUAUUUACCUGGCUAUUGCUACUUACUCUUCUAGACUCAGCUCCAAAAUUAACUUUCUGGAAGCUUUCUCUGGCCUGUUCUCCCCCUGCCUCCUCUGGGCCUCUCAGGAAUAGAGAUGUACUAGGUCUGUGGCCCUUUAGCCCCAUUUUCCCGCCAUGGAGUACUGGUGUCAUGCAGUAACAUUCUCUCUUCUAGUGCAUGAACUCCAGUGAACAUAACUUAGGCAUCCUCUCCUGCCCUACCCAGAGCCUCAAACCACUCCAGGCAUAUAAUGGAUGCUCCAUAAGUGUUGUUGAAAAGAACUGACUGAGUCCUGUAUUUCUGAGGCUAGAGACGCUCUGGUCAUGGCAGCCUGGGACUGUGCUUGGAAAUGCCCAGCCUGGUGGGACAUGAUCCCAGAGCAGGCUCUGCACUAGCCCCUAUGGCCCUUGUCCACACUGAGCUCUGGAACUAUUCCCAGCCCUGACUUCCACAUGCUGAGAGCCAGCACUGCCGCAGCUUCUUUCCUCCACCUCUCGUGGCCACUUUUGAGAGCGCUCUUUGAAGCCAGGAACUUAUACUUCUUGGUCAGCCCUGAAUGGACCCUGUGCCAUGAACGCCUGCCUCAUGUGAGCUGGGCAUGUGCAGAGGUGAAGGGAUGCAGCCCUGCCUCCGUGUGGGAGACAAGGGCACCUGGGCCAGCGGCCACUGAAAGGAACUGCACGGAUGUACUGACACAGAGAGUGGGUCUCUCCAGGAGACUGCUUUCAGCUCCUGGAAGCUUAACUCCAAACAAACACAUGCUGCCUAACAGCAAACAUGUGCUGGUGAUUUACAGCCUUGUCAGAAAACCUUCACUGACUAUCAUCAACAGAGCAGAGACCUGUUACCCAGGGGUGGAGGCUGGGGAGCAGCCAGCAGCCCCAUCCUGUGCCUCGUAUGCUGCACACUCUGCUUUCCUGCCUGGUACUGAACAUCAUCAGCCGCCAACUGCUCCAGGCUUCAGGAGUGCCCUCUGGCAGGAAGGAGAACCAGUUUGGGCUGAGUGUGUCUGUCUAAGGAAAGGCACCGCUAGGCUACCAUAGAGAGAAUCAGCCCACCUCCCCCAAAUUGCCUCUGUCUCCCCCAAAUAGCCUCUGUUCCAGAUCCUGCAGGGUCUCCCAGCCAUCUGGACUCCAGAGCCAUGGGGCACACCAGAAGGCCCAGUCCUGAAGCCCCCCCACAAAGCCGGUCUUGUCUCAGCCAGUUUUUCCCAGUCACAGAAUCAAAGAUUCACUCCCAGGCAGCAGGUCCUCAGGGACAUGUGGAACCCCUUUCAGUGCUCGGCACUCUGGGGAGAGGCUUUCCUGGGCAGCCCCUUUCCUCUCUGAACCAGCCUGAUUCAGAAACAGCUGCUUCAUUCAGACACACUUCCUAUGACCGUCCAGACACUGUUUGGGGCUUUCUCUUUCAUCUCUCAGGGUAGCCCUCCCAAUCCCAGCAGUCCCCUGCCCCAGCUUCCAGUUCAUCGGAUGUGGUUCUAAUUUGGAAUCACGGAGCCAGCAACAUUGUGGAGGGAAAGGGACCAGCAAGCCGAGGCUCCCUGGCUUCCCCCAAAUGCUCUCCUACCUGGAUACAAAUGCAGCCCCAGAUGCCUCCCACAGCUUGUGCCGGCUGGUGCCUGAGACUCCCAAGUCUUUCUCACUGGUCCUCUGGCUGUUUGGUUAUGAAACCUUUUCUCCCUUCUUCCUGAAUUAGUGUGGCUCAGUUUUGGGGUCUGAGUGGUUGGCUCCCCCUCAUAUUUGACACUCCUGGGCCUUGUCAAUUGCACUACUGUCUCCUGUGAGUGGCUUGGCUCUUCCCAGGUACAAGCUGGCAGCCCCUUACUGCCAGAAUACCCUGGGAAAAAUGCCUGCCUGUGCCUAAGAGAGCUCUUCCUGCAGUGAGAAAUGACUCAGUAAACAUUCAGGGUGACAAUGAAUGGGUGAAGAUAUUUUUAUGAAAUUUCCCUGACCACAAACAGCAUUCUCUGCCCACAAAAAAACCAAGCACUCCAGGAGACAAAUACCGGGCUCUCCCUAUUCACUUUACACCAAAUGCUUGAUCCUUCAUUGACGACGGACCUGCAACACUUGGUGCUCCUUGGAACAAUGCAGAUUUGUUCACUGAGUCAUUUCUGGUUCAGUUUUAAAAUUCACAGCUGUCACUGUUUACACCCAAAGCAGAAGAGCUAGCGCCCACCCAAAUGUGUCUGCAAGAACCACAGCUGGUGACAGCUCUAGACGCUGUGUGGCUUCCCAAGCAUAGCCGACUCAUUCAGGAAACAAGGGCAGCAGGAGACUGGUCUUUGGCGGCUCUGCCUGAAGCCUAUGGUUCUGACAGUGCCCAGCUGUUGUAAAUUGGAGCAGUCACUAAUUUAUCCAUUGAUUCAUUCAUUUAUCUAACAAAAUACUUAUUGAGCAUAUUCUGUGUGCUAGACCCCCAUGCUAGGGCAUCGAGGAGGACUCAGAUGCAAUCCCUGCCCUCAGGAUGACAGUCUAGUGCAGCAUAUGAGACAGUAAGGUCACUGGCAUUGCAACACAGUGUUAUAAGAGCCAUGGGAACACAAAGGAAGCCAGGUUGGUGUGAGGGCAUGUUGAGGGGGCUGGAGGACAGAGAGUCAGGAAAAGGCUUCCUUGGAGAAGGUGCCACGUGAGCUGACAAAGCUCUUGGGGGGAAGGGAGGGUCUGGAGUGAGGCAUGUGGUGAGUGCCAUGUUGGCUGGAGCAUGCCCCCCUUGUGGUCAGGCAAGCGGGCAGGACUGGCUGGGGCACGGGGUGUGGGGUCAUGGAGAGGUAGCUAAGCCUGUGGAGGCAGGCUAGCCCCAGCUUCUGAACACUUUCCCGGAAGAAUAGGAAAGUACAAUAGGAGCAGCUCCAACCACCCUCUAAAGAAAGUGUUUUCUUGGUCUUUCAUUUCAGAGAAAACUAAGACUCAGGUGAGUAGCUCGCCCAACAUCACAGAGCUAAUAAGUAGUGGAGUGACUGCUGGAUUUCAAAGCGCAUAUUCUUCACCACUCAGCUCUGAUCUACUACCUCCACUGUGGUGGAGGGCUAGGAAAACAGACUGGGUGUGGGCACCAUACUGGAGAGAUGAAGACCAAGAAAUGCAGGGACAUGAAUUAUGGCAGUGGAGACAAAACAGGAGUGAAGGUGAGGGGACAGAUUUGGGAGUUAGAGUUGACUGGUCUUGUUAGAAGUUGGUUGAAGGUAGGAAGGAGGAAGAGAUGACACAUUUCUGGCCUGGGAAUUAGGUGCUUUUCACUGAGAUUGGGGCUUGGCUGGAAUACCAGGAGCCGUAUUGUGAACAUGGUCAGUGACAUCCACGGGGAGAUGUUCAGAUGGUGAAUAGAACAGAGACCUGGAGCUUGGGAGAGUGGCCUGAGCUGUAGGGAUGCCACUCACCACUCUGCCUGCCACCCACAAAACAGGGAUAAUAAUAGUGCCCACCUCGUCAGCUUGUUAUGCGGAUUAAAAGUAUGGAGCUGGAGCAGCACCUAGCAUGGAGUAAAACUUCAUUGCUUCUAUUAAUGUAAGUGAUAAUUAAAACCACGGUAGUGGAUGAGGUACCACAGACAGGAAAGAGAGAAGAGAAGAGGACCUGGGACUGAAUCCUGAGGGACAAAGGGACUGAUACCUGAGGGACUGGUGGAAGAAUAGGAAAGUACAAGGACCGAGCAGCAGUUUCUGGAGAGAGAGAAGCCAGGUGAGUGCUGGGGCUGGGAAGAAGGGAUCAGAGGAUUCAGGGAGGGGGGUGCUAUCUGGGUGCUCAAGCAGUUGACAGUCAUGCUUGGUGAGGCUGCGGAACAGCUCUGCGGGGUCCAUGCUGGUUCAUGUGACAAAGGCUGAUCGGGCACGUGGCAGCCACAGUGCACAUGCUGACUGAAAGAGCGGUAAGCAAAACCUGUCAGUAGUGGGCCACUGACACUCGAUGGAAACUUCAGUGCAAGAGGAAAGAGUCCUCCUCUCCACAGGAGAACCACAGCACCCACAGCCUGUCAGCGCCAGAAGGAAGCUGGGUGAUCACCGGUCUGGUAGAUGAAGCAGCCCAGGACAAACGACUUGCCCAGGGAAUCACAGUGAAUAGGAGGCAGAGCUGUAGUAGCUGCCUUAGUAUUAUUUUGGCAGACGGGCCUUAGAAAUGGCACUUCACCUGGGAACUGUGGCCAUGCCCUGCAACCAUUUCCCAGGCACUCAGCUUGAGGAGCUUUUACAAUGCUUUGCUCCUCGGCCUUGGAAACCAGGGUCCCGUGCUUUCUCUUCACUUCCAGACAAGACUGCCACCUACUGGCGUGUGUGAGAAAUACGCUUCAGUGCCUGUAUCCCUACAGGUUGGCUUCCUUUUCCUGCAGGGAAGAGUAGGAACAGAUUCGGCAAGUUGCUGUUGUAGGAAAGAGACCAGGGUCAGGCAUCUUCCUGACCAAUUACAUUCUCUCUCUGAUUUCUGUACAUUUUGCCACCACUUUCACCACGUCCUGUUCAAAGCCCAAUGCUGAAACAUUAAAAACAUAUUUUAUGUACUAUUUUGUUUAAAAAAAAAAACAGACAACAAAAUAAUUGAUGUUAUGUGCUCUGGUGGUGUAUGCACUGCUGAAUCAGGAAUUGCUGCGGUGUGUCUUCCCUGAGUACCUGCUCGUCCUGGCAAAUCUCACCAAGUCCAGCUGGCCUGAGCGCUGACACUUGGAGCUGUUGCUGACAUCUGAGGCUAGCACGCUGCACUGGGUGUACAAGGUCAGACAGUACCAAAGCAGGGCAGAAACGGAGGUUUUGACAGCUAGGCAAACUGGUAGUUAGAAAUAAGUUCUUCCCAACGACUUUCUAUUUUAAAAAAACUCUGGAAGACUAUAUAGUAAAACAUAAACAUUGAAUAAAGUGUUGCAGUUGAAGUGCACAUAUCAUUUUGGGGAAAUAAUGUAUCUUUUAAAAAUAUUCAGCAGAUUUUUACGUGAAACUAUAGCAUCAGAGCCUUGUGAUUGUUGUUCAAUGAAGUGACAUGAGACAGGUGGCCUCUUUGGCCGCAGGAAAGGCUGGUUCUACUGUUCAUGUUAGCUCAGAAGAGGAAAACAAAGGCACAGGGUUCUAUGGGGCGAAGGCUGUUGUUUUAAAAAUGAGGUCUUGUAGUAUUUGCUUGACCCUGUGAAGGGCAUGAAGAUGAGAAAAAAUAAUUUAAAAAUGUU